rnacentral:Y_RNA from 1 species
GAAGAGUCUGAAGGUAGUGCAUUAUCUCACUUGAUCACAAGUCAAUUACAGAUAGAACUUCAUGUUCUGCUCUUCCCCCACUUCUAACUAUUGCACUUGACUAGUCCUAA